UCCGCGUGAGUAAUGCGCGCCAAUCAGCGCACAGCCGCUGGACAUCAGCGUGAGUAUAUAAGAACAGCGGGCCCUGCUGCUUGCUCUCUUCCUCGUGUAGUCUUCCGUGCGAGUGCAAGUCCCCAAGAAAGAUCUAUGGGUCUAUUUGAAAUGGCAGUUCAACCUUGCUUCCCACCAUGCAGAAUGCAGGUACUGGGUGACACCAAAGGUGCAAGGCCAAAACCAUCAAAUGAGAAGAAAACAUGCAGGUGAAUGGAGACCUGUCAUUUGUGAAUGAAAACUGCUGCUCAUUCAGGCAUCUAUCCGCUUGUGACCUCCUGGUGUUGCAGAGGUGUAACGAAGUGCAUUCACAUCUGUAAUUUACAGGUAUGGUGCUACGUUGGGAGUGACGUGACAAUUCCAUGAGAAUUGGUGCCGACUUUCCGGCCAGGUACAAACACUACUGAAGAGAAACUUGGAACGGAGCUUUCUUGCAGCUGUGAAAUGCAUGCACCUGUUGACCUGGCUCUUUUAAGAAGGCUGAACCUAAGAAAAUUAACCUUGUAUGUGUGACAAUUGCAGAUUGUAAUAAAACUGACUUGACUACCUCU